rnacentral:rRNA from 1 species
AGAGUUUGAUCCUGGCUCAGGACGAACGCUGGCGGCGUGCUUAACACAUGCAAGUCGAACGGUGAUCCCCAGCUUGCUGGGGUGAUCAGUGGCGAACGGGUGAGUAACACGUGAGCAACCUGCCCCCGACUCUGGGAUAACUCCGGGAAACCGGGGCUAAUACCGGAUAUGACAUCGCCUCGCAUGGGGUGGUGUGGAAAGUUCUUCGGUCGGGGAUGGGCUCGCGGCCUAUCAGCUUGUUGGUGGGGUGAUGGCCUACCAAGGCGACGACGGGUAGCCGGCCUGAGAGGGCGACCGGCCACACUGGGACUGAGACACGGCCCAGACUCCUACGGGAGGCAGCAGUGGGGAAUAUUGCGCAAUGGGCGAAAGCCUGACGCAGCGACGCCGCGUGAGGGAUGAAGGCCUUCGGGUUGUAAACCUCUUUCAGCAGGGAAGAAGCGAAAGUGACGGUACCUGCAGAAGAAGCACCGGCUAACUACGUGCCAGCAGCCGCGGUAAUACGUAGGGUGCAAGCGUUGUCCGGAAUUAUUGGGCGUAAAGAGCUCGUAGGCGGUUUGUCGCGUCUGCUGUGAAAACGCGGGGCUCAACUCCGCGCCUGCAGUGGGUACGGGCAGACUAGAGUGCAGUAGGGGAGACUGGAAUUCCUGGUGUAGCGGUGGAAUGCGCAGAUAUCAGGAGGAACACCGGUGGCGAAGGCGGGUCUCUGGGCUGCAACUGACGCUGAGGAGCGAAAGCGUGGGGAGCGAACAGGAUUAGAUACCCUAGUAGUCC